CAAACAGCUGCAACCAAGUGAUUGCCACUACAUUGGGUAGAAUCACACGAAAUCGAUGUGACAUCACAUGCUUUUGAAAUGCGAUAUUAAAUCUUGCAACACUGCUCUGAUUUUGUUGUGUUCGGCCUUGCGAACGGCCAUUUUCAGUUUGCCGCAAACGAUGGAAGCUGUUUUUUGGAAAAUCAUUGACGGCGUUGUUUUUUAUUUCAAUGAGGUAAGAUAUGUGAGAAUCCUGGACCAUUUCUUGUCGAAAGUGCAUCUCGCGGAAUAAAAUUCUCUCCCGCAACUUUCGCGUGUUUCGUGGGACCAUUUCUUGAAAGUUGCUAACCGAUCGCAGAAGCAAUGAAGUGCCAAGUGCUGGGCGUGGAGCAAAGCGCCAACGACGUUGAAAUUAAGAAAGCGUACCGCAAGUUGGCCCUACGAUGGCACCCGGACAAGAACCUAGACAAUCUGGAGGAAGCGGAUCUGCAGUUUUUGCUGGUCCAGGCGACGCGACGUACUAUGUGCUGUCCGAUAUUUAGGAACGGGCCUGGGGAACGGGAGCAGAUUCUGCGCGGAGGACAUACAAAUUAUGAGAACAAUUCGUUGGAUAUGUUCUAGUAUUCAACGACUUCCUGCUACAAGGGUUUCGGGAUGAUUAGGGAGGAUUCUACGCCGUGUAUGGAGAAGUGUUCCAUACGAUAGCCUCGGAGGAGAUUGAGUUCGUGGGAGAACAAGCAGAAUUUUGAGGAUAUUUCGAAGUUCGGCAAUUCAAAGAACGACUACGAGACGGAAAGUUCGACUUUUCUACGAGAAGAACAAAAAGGUCCAGCAGAAGGCCAGAAAAGUAUGAAACGAAGACAUUCGUUCGCUGGUGUUCGUGAAAAAACGAGACAAGCGGGUGCAGGCCUAUAAGAAGCUGCUGGAGAAACAGGUCAAACAGGACAGGAUUAGGUCGCAGCAGAAUCGGCUGGAACAGAUCAGUCGGAAGCAGAAGGAGAUUGAGGAGCAGCAGAGGAAUUCGUCCAAUGUGUUCAACGAGGAUUAUGAGGAGCAGUUGUAAGGAUUAGGAUUGUAAGAUGUUCCUUUGCCAUAGUGGUUUUAUUUAUUUUUUUAGUUUUUAAUAACGUGGUGCCGUUAAUAUUGACGGUAUAGUUUGUUCAGAGAUGUUUUUUGGUAUGUAUAUUACAUGGUCUAAUCACUUAUCAAAGUGAA